rnacentral:rRNA from 1 species
UACGUAGGUCCCGAGCGUUGUCCGGAUUUAUUGGGCGUAAAGCGAGCGCAGGUGGUUUAUUAAGUCUGGUGUAAAAGGCAGUGGCUCAACCAUUGUAUGCAUUGGAAACUGGUAGACUUGAGUGCAGGAGAGGAGAGUGGAAUUCCAUGUGUAGCGGUGAAAUGCGUAGAUAUUAGGAGGAACACCAGUGGCGAAGGCGGCUUACUGGACGGCAACUGACGCUGAGGCUCGAAAGCGUGGGGAGCAAACAGG